GGGGGAUAACCCGGAGAAAUCCAGGCUAAUACCGCAUAUGGACGACGAACCUGAGAGUAGUCGUCGAAAGAGCGCCUCUUUACAAUGCGCUCGCUAAUCGAUGGGCCUGCGUAGCAUUAGCUAGUUGGUGGGGUAACGGCCUACCAAGGCAUCGAUGCUUAGCGGAUCUGAGAGGAUGAUCCGUCACACUGGAACUGAGACACGGUCCAGACUCCUACGGGAGGCAGCAGUGGGGAAUAUUGCGCAAUGGACGAAAGUCUGACGCAGCAAUACCGCGUGAGUGAGGAAGGCCUUCGGGUUGUAAAGCUCUGUCAGGGUGGAAAAACGGCAGUCGGUCUAAUAGGCCGAUUGAUUGAUGGUACACCCAAAGGAAGCACCGGCUAACUUCGUGCCAGCAGCCGCGGUAAUACGAAGGGUGCAAGCGUUGUUCGGAUUUAUUGGGCGUAAGGCGCGCGCAAGCGGACAUGCAAGUCAGAUGUGAAAUCUCGGGGCUCAACCCCGAAACUGCGUCUGAAACUACUUGUCUAGAAUGUUGGAGAGGACAGGGGAAUUUCUCAUGUAGGGGUAAAAUCCGUAGAGAUGAGAAGGAACACCAGCGGCGAAGGCGCCUGUCUGGCCAACUAUUGACGCUGAGGCGCGAAAGCGUGGGGAGCAAACAGGAUUAGAGACCCUGGUAGUCCACGCCGUAAACGAUGGGCACUAGAUUUAGGGGGAUUUGACCCCUUCUGAGUCGUAGCUAACGCGUUAAGUGCCCCGCCUGGGGAGUACGGUCGCAAGAUUAAAACUCAAAGGAAUUGACGGGGGCCCGCACAAGCGGUGGAUUAUGUGGUUUAAUUCGAAGCAACGCGAAGAACCUUACCUGGGCUUGAAGUCCCACGAACCCUGCAGAGAUGUGGGGGUGCUCUUCGGAGAAUGUGGUGAUAGGCGCUGCAUGGCUGUCGUCAGCUCGUGUCGUGAGAUGUUGGGUUAAGUCUCGCAACGAGCGCAACCUCUAUUCUUAGUUGCCAGCAUUAAGUUGGGCACUCUAGGAAGAC
rnacentral:rRNA from 1 species